UCAGAUCAGUGAUGACGUCGAGGAAGGGAGGAUGCAUCUGUGAGGUAUUAGAACAGGCUUUAGAUCAGAUCAGUGAUGACUUGAGGAAGGGAGGAUGCAUCUGUGAGGUAUUAGAACAGGCUUUAGAUCAGAUCAGUGAUGACUUUGAGGAAGGGAGGAUGCAUCUGUGAGGUAUUAGAACAGGCUUUAGAUCAGAUCAGUGAUGACUUCGAGGGAUUGAGGAUGCAUCUGUGAGGUAUUAGAACAGGCUUUAGAUCAGAUCAGUGAUGACUUUGAGGGAUUGAGGAUGCAUCUGUGAGGUAUUAGAACAGGCUUUAGAUCAGAUCAGUGAUGACUUCGAGGGAUUGAGGAUGCAUCUGUGAGGUAUUAGAACAGGCUUUAGAUCAGAUCAGUGAUGACGUCGAGGGAUUGAGGAUGCAUCUGUGAGGUAUUAGAACAGGCUUUAGAUCAGAUCUUUAGAUAGAGAUAUCGUGAUGUGUUCACCUCACGCUAAAGAUCGCCGAUGUAGUUCUGCUCAUGUACUGUAGGUCUGACACUGACUUACUUAUAGGAUGUUGUACAAACUUAAAAAUGUAAAUAAAAUGAAUUUGCUUUGGCAUGACCAAGGA